UACGUAGGGACCAAGCGUUGUUCGGAUUUACUGGGCGUGAAGGGCGCGUAGGCGGCUUGUCAAGUCACUUGUGAAAUCUCUGGGCUUAACCCAGAACGGCCAAGUGAAACUGACAUGCUAGAGUGCAGAAGGGGCAAUCGGAAUUCUUGGUGUAGCGGUGAGAUGCGUAGAUAUCAAGAGGAACACCUGAGGUGAAGACGGGUUGCUGGGCUGACACUGACGCUGAGGCGCGAAAGCCAGGGGAGCAAACGGG
rnacentral:rRNA from 1 species